GCUGCAGUCCGUCCUAGAGGAAUAUCACUCCCUGCUGGAGAAAGCGGAGCAGCGCAGGGGUCAGCUGCAGGAACAAUAUCAGCUUUUCCAGUAUUUGCAGGAAGCAGGUCUGGUAGAGGCCUGGCUGGUCAGCAAGAAGACCAUUGCUGAAUCUGAAGAGUUUGGUCAAGAUCUAGAAGGCAUUAGGGUCUUGGAAAAAGAGUUUGAAAACUUUGUUAAGGAAGUAGAGACGCUGGGUAAGAGUAAAGUUCUGUCCCUGCAUGAAUUGACAUCAGGACUGCUGAAAGAAAACCACAGUCAGACAGAACAGAUCAAGAAGAAGGCAGAGGAUGUGAACGGCACCUGGGAUGUAUUGUGCCGUGCAAUACAGAACAGAGCUAAGACUUUGACAAAAGCUCACCAGGUCCAUCAGUUUGAUCACGAUGUUAAUGAA